rnacentral:lncRNA from 1 species
AUGUGUAUAGGUGCUGUAUACAUCUGUGUGUCUGUGCCUAUUGGAAACACAUGCUGCUUGUUGGCCAUGGGAGCACAAAUUUGCAGCUGCCUUUUCCAUGCUGUUGGGCUGCUGGAUUCAACAACAGAAACCAGUCUUACCAAAGUGAAGAGCCAAAUACAAGUGAAUUGGGGAACUACAGAAAUGGCCUUAGGGGCUCUUUAUUCACUGAUCAAAACAAUGUGUACAGGGUCAAUAACUAUUGCUGAUGAAAUGGAGUUUUGUAGCAGAUCCUCCUUUCCCCUUUGGAGCCCAGUACCCACAGCAACCUCCCAGCCUGGCACAGACCCUUGGUGGAUGUGGGUGCCAGAACCACUGAGGGGGCCUCCAGCUGCCUCACCCCACUCCAGCUGCACCCAUGGGAGGAAGCAGCCACGGAGGGAAGGAAGCAGAAGUACCUCCCCAUGCCACUCCUCCCCUCUGCUGCGGAGCUCCCGAGCACAGCAUGCACCAGGCUGA